CAAGUCGAACGCGUCUUGGUUAUUGAUGUUAGAUGCUUGCAUUUAACUGAUUUAUCACUGAGACGAGUGGCGAACUGGUGAGUAACACGUGGGUAACCUGCCCUUGAAGUAGGGGAUAACACUUGGAAACAGGUGCUAAUACCGUAUAACAACCAAAACCACCUGGUUUUGGUUUAAAAGAUGGCUUCGGCUAUCACUUUAGGAUGGACCCGCGGCGUAUUAGCUUGUUGGUAAGGUAACGGCCUACCAAGGCAAUGAUACGUAGCCGACCUGAGAGGGUAAUCGGCCACAUUGGGACUGAGACACGGCCCAAACUCCUACGGGAGGCAGCAGUAGGGAAUCUUCCACAAUGGACGAAAGUCUGAUGGAGCAACGCCGCGUGAGUGAUGAAGGGUUUCGGCUCGUAAAACUCUGUUGUUGGAGAAGAACAGGUGUGAGAGUAACUGUUCACAUCUUGACGGUAUCCAACCAGAAAGCCACGGCUAACUACGUGCCAGCAGCCGCGGUAAUACGUAGGUGGCAAGCGUUGUCCGGAUUUAUUGGGCGUAAAGCGAGCGCAGGCGGUUUCUUAGGUCUGAUGUGAAAGCCUUCGGCUUAACCGGAGAAGUGCAUCAGAAACCAGGAGACUUGAGUGCAGAAGAGGACAGUGGAACUCCAUGUGUAGCGGUGAAAUGCGUAGAUAUAUGGAAGAACACCAGUGGCGAAGGCGGCUGUCUGGUCUGUAACUGACGCUGAGGCUCGAAAGCAUGGGUAGCGAACAGGAUUAGAUACCCUGGUAGUCCAUGCCGCAAACGAUGAGUGCUAAGUGUUGGAGGGUUUCCGCCCUUCAGUGUUGCAGCUAACGCAUUAAGCACUCCGCCUGGGGAGUACGACCGCAAGGUUGAAACUCAAAGGAAUUGACGGGGGCCCGCACAAGCGGUGGAGCAUGUGGUUUAAUUCGAUGCU
rnacentral:rRNA from 1 species